UACGAAGGGGGCUAGCGUUGCUCGGAAUCACUGGGCGUAAAGGGUGCGUAGGCGGGUCUUUUAAGUCAGGGGUGAAAUCCUGGAGCUCAACUCCAGAACUGCCUUUGAUACUGGUGAGCUUGAGUCCGGAAGAGGUGAGUGGAACUGCGAGUGUAGAGGUGAAAUUCGUAGAUAUUCGCAAGAACACCAGUGGCGAAGGCGGCUCACUGGUCCGGUACUGACGCUGAGGUGCGAAAGCGUGGGGAGCAAACAGG
rnacentral:rRNA from 1 species